rnacentral:rRNA from 2 species
ACGAACGCUGGCGGCGUGCCUAAUACAUGCAAGUCGAGCGAAUCAAUGGGAGCUUGCUCCCUGAGAUUAGCGGCGGACGGGUGAGUAACACGUGGGUAACCUGCCUGUAAGAUUGGGAUAACUCCGGGAAACCGGAGCUAAUACCGGAUAACAUUUUGAACCGCAUGGUUCAAAAUUGAAAGAUGGCUUCUAGCUAUCACUUACAGAUGGACCCGCGGCGCAUUAGCUAGUUGGUGAGGUAACGGCUCACCAAGGCAACGAUGCGUAGCCGACCUGAGAGGGUGAUCGGCCACACUGGGACUGAGACACGGCCCAGACUCCUACGGGAGGCAGCAGUAGGGAAUCUUCCGCAAUGGACGAAAGUCUGACGGAGCAACGCCGCGUGAACGAUGAAGGCCUUCGGGUCGUAAAGUUCUGUUGUUAGGGAAGAACAAGUACCAGAGUAACUGCUGGUACCUUGACGGUACCUAACCAGAAAGCCACGGCUAACUACGUGCCAGCAGCCG